rnacentral:rRNA from 1 species
GACUAAGCGUACACGGUGGAUGCCCUGGCAGUCAGAGGCGAUGAAGGACGUGCUAAUCUGCGAAAAGCGUCGGUAAGGUGAUAUGAACCGUUAUAACCGGCGAUGUCCGAAUGGGGAAACCCAGUGUGAUUCGUCACACUAUCGUUAACUGAAUACCUAGAUUCUACGUCAGUACUUCAAAAAGCAUAAUCAAAGCCUUGAUAAAUAUGCAUUCCUUCGAAAUUCAGCUUUCACCCAUUGGGUGAAAGAAAAGUGCUCAAAAAUAUGUUAAAUUAUCA